UACGAAGGGGGCUAGCGUUGUUCGGAAUUACUGGGCGUAAAGCGCGCGCAGGCGGUCUUCCAAGUCAGUGGUGAAAGCCCGGAGCUCAACUCCGGAACUGCCAUUGAAACUGUGAGACUUGAGUACGAGAGAGGUGAGUGGAAUUCCCAGUGUAGAGGUGAAAUUCGUAGAUAUUGGGAAGAACACCGGUGGCGAAGGCGGCUCACUGGCUCGUAACUGACGCUCAGGCGCGACAGCGUGGGGAUCAAAACAGG
rnacentral:rRNA from 1 species